UGCAUGUGCUUGGCCAUCUUACAAAUCUAUGUCUAAGAUUCAUAAGGCUGUCACUCUGCAUGAAUCUCUGAAUAAAUCCUGUGUAACCUUUAGUGAGCUGAUUAUUUACACUAUAGGUAUUAUAGUCAUUAAUUAACUUUGAUAGUAUUUCAGGAUUUUAACUUUUUGGGGGGAGGUUAAUAACAAUGUGAUGUUUCAUUAUAGACACACAUGAGGAAGCUCGACUCAGCUUGGCUUGCAGACAGAUAAGGACAGUGAUUGCCUGUCAUACACCUAAAGAAAGAACAGGGGCAUUAAAGACACAACUAUAGUGAACGUGAUGAAGAAAAAUUAUUUGGAACAAAGAGGCUGGAGAAAAAACUGAUAUGAAGAUUUAAGAAAUUGAUGCAGCACCGCAAGUACCAUCACCACCAAUGACAAUGGCAGGAUCCUUAAGAACACCAUCAAGAUGCACAGAUGCUGUACAUUUCAGUACACCUAUGAACAUUUACAGUCCUUGUUCAAGUACAGUUGGAGAUCAAGACAACUUAUUGCAACUCGUCAUGUCUUUCACGACUGAUAAAAGUUUUAAAAUCAUGUGACGUCAUAAAGC